rnacentral:rRNA from 1 species
GACGAACGCUGGCGGCGUGGAUUAGGCAUGCAAGUCGAACGGUAUCAUCCUUUCGGGGGUGAGAGAGUGGCGAACUGGUGAGUAACACGUAGGUUAUCUACCCUCAAGACGGGGACAACCCAGGGAAACUUGGGCUAAUACCGGAUGUGAGCAACUUUUAGUUGUUUGAAAGGUGGCGUAAGCUGUCGCUUGGGGAUGAGCCUGCGUCCUAUUAGUUAGUUGGUGAGGUAACGGCUCACCUAGGCAAUGAUAGGUAGGCGGCCUUAACGGGUGGUCGCCCACACUGGGAUUGAGAUACGGCCCAGACUCCUACGGGAGGCAGCAGUCGAGAAUAGUCUACAAUGGUCGGAAGACUGAUAGUGCGACGCCGCGUGAACGAUGAAUCCCUUCGGGGUGUAAAGUUCUUUUAUAUGUGAGCAGUGUCCUUUAUAUUAAUAGUAUAAGGGGAGAGAUAUUAGCGUAUGAAUAAGCAACGGCUAACUCCGUG